GCGAGGAGGAAGGCUGGGAAGAGAAGGGCUGAUCACGUGGCUACGGAGGCGGUGCGGCACUGCGCGGCGGGCGGGAACCAGAGGAAGAAGAGUCUGAAGCAGAAAUGGAAAUCCCCUACUACCCAUAAAAUUUAAAUCAAUUCAUAUAAUAAAGAUUUUUACAAAGACUUC